CUGCUAAAAAUAUAACGAUGAUAACAGUUAGUUGUGUACAGACAGUCGCGGUAGUUUAAGUCUUACCUCGUGUUUAAUUUUGGUGUUUUAUUGUAGUUUAUGUCACACUGAGAAGAAACUUGACGAACAGAUAAUGGCUGAUGCUGGAGAUGAUGUUGAUGAUCCACCCAGUAUGAGCUGCCCACUGGUGACUGUCUCACAUCUCCCAAACACUACCGCAGCUGGGCGUAACCUGAAGGAAUGGCUCCAGGAGCAGUUCUGUGAUAAACCCUUGGAACAGUGUGAGGACAUGCGUCUACAUAACGCUGCCUAUGUGGGAGAUUUGGAGACUAUAAGGACCCUCCUGCGAGAAGACAGCUUUAAACAGCGGAUCAAUGAAAAGUCAGUAUGGUGCUGCGGGUGGCUGCCCUGCACACCCCUGCGUAUCGCUGCCACGGCCGGUCACAGCGAGUGUGUGCAUUUCCUGAUCUCUCAGGGAGCCGAUGUAGAUUUGGUAGACGUGAAGGGACAGACCGCUCUGUAUGUGGCUGUGGUUAAUGGCCAUUUGGACUGUGUGAAGAUCCUUCUGGAAGCUGGCGCUGAUCCGAAUGGCAGCAGACAUCACCGAAGUACCCCUUUAUACCACGCUGCACGCGUGGGUCGGGUGGACAUCCUACAAGAGCUGAUCAGGUUUAAUGCUGAUGUCGAUGUAGACCACCAGCUGGGCCCCAGACCCUUGUUUAGUGCCCGCAUUCUGACUACUCUGGUGGUCUGUCCGCUGUACAUCAGCGCUGCGUAUCACCACCUCCAUUGUUUCCGGAUGCUUCUACAGGCUGGUGCCAACCCAGACUAUAACUACACCGGCCCCGUGAGCAGAGAGGCGCUGACCAGAGGCCUGGCUUCAUGUCUUCUGGAUGCGGUCCUGAGACACGGCUGCGAACCUGCAUUUGUAAGCUUGCUGCUGGAUCACGGCGCUGACCCGUGGCUGGUCCCGUGGGACGAGCCUGAUUCCGAUGCUAUGGGUCGUGUACGGGUCAAUCCUGAAGCCCUCUGCAUCUACCAGGAGGCCAGAAGAUGCUCAAGGAAAUUGACGCAUAUGUGUCGUAUUGAGAUCCGGAGGGUCAUGGGGAAGCAUCGCUUGUCACGCAUCUCAUCUCUUCCGUUGCCGGACACCAUUAAGAACUUUCUUCUCCACAAGGAAUGAGGUGGAUCUGCUGCUUCAUUCAAACAGUAUUUAACUCACAGGUGUGAGUGUGGACACUUACUUCCAGCACCGACAGACAGACAGACAGACAUAUGGCAGAAGCCUUGGCAGUGAAGUGCGGUGACCGGCAGAAGAUAGAAUCGCUAGUGAGUGUUCCAGAAUCUCUGCCCUUGAACAUUUCAGAUAAGAAAUAGGCCUACAUUUGCAAAGAAGGCAAACAUAAAUCCCAAAUUACUAAAAAGUCAAAAGAUGAUUGAUACCAGUGGUGGCGUUUGUGCAAGAAGUCGUAUUGCAGGUCAGCAGUCUUGUAGCAGUGAGUUUGUAUUUAUUUAGUCUACCUUUGAUUUAUAUAUUGUGUAGAUUAGAUUAGGGGUUUCCAAACUGGAGGGCACAAGAUGAUGCUAGGGGACCCCAGUUUUAUUACAUUUUUUAAAAUCGUAUUUAUCAUAAAAAUCAGUGUAAUCAAACCUCAGAAAAAUUUAGGUACCAGGCAUUGUAUAAUUUAAUAUGUUUUGUUUUAUUCAGAUUUUAAGUUUGAGA